UUUGGGGAUUGCGCAUGGUAAGUUUGUGUUUUUUCGACAAAUAUCAAUUUUACCUUGAAAUAAUGUCAAAUUGAUACCAAAAUAUGUAAUUUUCUCUAAUUCUCUCUUUUCGAAUAUUUCUUGACAUCGAAAAAGAGGGGAUAGAGCAAUAUGGCGGAGUUAAUUACGUGAGUGGAAGCGAAAUAGACCUAUCCGGAAUUCGACUUGGCUUACUUUAAACAUGUUCUUUCGCUUGCACUAACAUGGUUUUCUCGGGUUUUGAACUUGACACCUGCGGAAAACGUUGUGCGAUAGACCAGCUUGUAAGGUGUCUGUCUCUAAUGCUAAAGGUCCCAGGUUCAAGUACGCCCCAAGGCAGAGUAUGCUUUAUGUGUUUAAGAAUAAUAUCUAAAAUGUCCUUAUAAUUGUUAUAAUAGCGCUGCAUUUAAAUGAUUUCAGAUUUCAAUCAAAAAUAUAAAAAUAAAUUUUU